rnacentral:rRNA from 1 species
AGCGAACGCUGGCGGCAGGCCUAACACAUGCAAGUCGAACGAACCUUUCGGGGUUAGUGGCGGACGGGUGAGUAACACGUGGGAACGUGCCUUUAGGUUCGGAAUAACUCAGGGAAACUUGUGCUAAAACCGAAUGUGCCCUUCGGGGGAAAGAUUAAUCGCCUUUAGAGCGGCCCGCGUCUGAUUAGCUAGUUGGUUGAGGUAAUGGCUCACCAAGGCGACGAUCAGUAGCUGGUCUGAGAGGAUGAUCAGCCACAUUGGGACUGAGACACGGCCCAAACUCCUACGGGAGGCAGCAGUGGGGAAUCUUGCGCAAUGGGCGAAAGCCUGACGCAGCCAUGCCGCGUGAAUGAUGAAGGUCUUAGGAUUGUAAAAUUCUUUCACCGGGGACGAUAAUGACGGUACCCGGAGAAGAAGCCCCGGCUAACUUCGUG